AUUGAACGCUGGCGGCAUGCCUUACACGAUGCAAGUCGAACGGCAGCACGGGAGCAAUCCUGGUGGCGAGUGGCGAACGGGUGAGUAAUAUAUCGGAACGUGCCCGGUCGUGGGGGAUAACGUAGCGAAAGCUACGCUAAUACCGCAUACGAUCUACGGAUGAAAGCGGGGGAUCGCAAGACCUCGCGCGAUUGGAGCGGCCGAUAUCAGAUUAGGUAGUUGGUGAGGUAAAGGCUCACCAAGCCGACGAUCUGUAGCUGGUCUGAGAGGACGACCAGCCACACUGGGACUGAGACACGGCCCAGACUCCUACGGGAGGCAGCAGUGGGGAAUUUUGGACAAUGGGCGCAAGCCUGAUCCAGCAAUGCCGCGUGCAGGAUGAAGGCCUUCGGGUUGUAAACUGCUUUUGUACGGAACGAAACGGUGAGCUCUAAUACAGUUUGCUAAUGACGGUACCGUAAGAAUAAGCACCGGCUAACUACGUG
rnacentral:rRNA from 1 species